AGUUUUAUCCCAUGCGGUUUCUCCAUAGUGAGUGUGUUCUCAUGAGAUAUGACAGUUUAAAAGUGUGUGGCAGUUCCCCCAUCUUGCUCUCUCUCCCGUCACCAGUUAUACACAAGAUGAAUGGAUUAACCACUGGAAGACCUGCACUACUACAAAUGUUAAAGAAAGUCCUUCCAAGAAAGAAAAAAGGCAACUUAAUGGAAACUUGUGUCUACCAAAUGGAAAGAAGAGCAAUGGGAAUCCUAACUACGUGAUGUGAGAAAAAAAGUUGAAUGUGGUGAUGGGGAAAACACUGAAGUUCAAAAGAAGCGAAGACAAGAAGCUACUCAUGGCAGCAGCUUUUCCCAUAAAUCAAGAAAUGCUACAGAUUAUAAAUGAGAUGAGACUAUCAAGAAGAGACCUAAUAGGAGUGUGAAGACCAAAAAUUUAAAAGACGUGGUUAUAUACUUUGAGUAAACUCUAUAUAUAGGACAAUGUUAUUGUUUGGUUCUGUGUUCCUCACUCAAAUCUCACCUCAAAUUAUAAUCCCCAUGUGUCAAGGGCAGGACCAGGUGGAAGUAACUGGAUCAUGGGGGAAGUUUUCCUCAUGCUUUUCUCAUAGUAAGUGAGUUCUCAUAAGAUCUGAUUUUUUUAUAAGCAUAUGGCAUUUCCCCUCCUAGCAUUUUGCCUCCUGCUGCCUUGCAAAGACGGCAGUUGCUUCCCCUUUGCCUUCCGCCAUGACUGUAAGUUCCCUGAGUCCUCUCCAGCCAUGUGGAACUGUGGGUUAAUUAAAUCUCUUUCCUUAUAAAUUACCCAGUCUUGGGCAGUUCUUUAUAGCAGUGUGAAACUGGACUAAAAUAGAAAAUUGGUACCAGGAGAGUGAGGCACUGCUGUAAAGACAUCACUAUAAAGGCACCUGAAAAUGGAAGCAACUUUGGAACUAGCUAAUGGGCAGAGGUUGGAACCAUUUGCAGGGUUCAGAAGAAGACAUGAAGAUGUGGGAAAGUUUGGAAAUUCCUGGAGACUUGUUGAAUGCUUUGACGAAAAUGCUGAUACUGAUAUGGACAAUAAAUUUCAGGCUGAGAUGCUCUCAGAUACAAAUAAAGAA
ensembl:lncRNA novel transcript